rnacentral:lncRNA from 1 species
GCCAUGUAUUUGACAUGGUGGCAUCAGAUUUCCAAUUUAUCUUGACAUUAUUGGAUCAUAUUUGUUACUUAGAAUUGAGGAGGCGUAGAACGUAAUGUGGUCUUGCAUCUUCAUAAAGGACCAUGAAUAUCUCCAAGUGUUCCACUUUGUGGGCUAGAAUUUCACAAAUGUUGAACUUGUCGUGGAGAGAGAGAUGAGGAAUGGAACCCAACAGAUCGAAUACCUCCUUCCUCGCUUUUUCUAAGUCUUGGUCAUAUCCGAUCAACUAGCUAGAUUCUCCAAUCUAGCAUUCAUAUUGCGACUAAUCUCACCAAGCAGAGCGUAGCCAUAAGUGGAUUUGCAUUUCUUGCCUCUAGUUUCUUUCACUUGUGCAGGUUGCUUGCUUCCAUAAACACUAUUUUUCCCUUGUGUGGCUUCAAAUAUGUCAUCAAGGCUAACGUUAUAAUCAUCGGCCGAUGCAGAUUCUUCCAUGUCAUCUUGUUGCUCCAAUUUAUUCAACACAUCGAGAAUGUCCUCUGCAUUAUCACACGUUGCCCACUCCGUUUCCAAAAAUCUCUUUCCAAUCCACAAAGUAAGGUCAAGGCUUUUACCGCAUUGAACAAGCAUUACUAUCGCUCUGUCAUGUCAACAAAAAGCAAAAUUCAACAUAUAUCGCAAAUUUAAAUCAUGGAAGCUAUCACAAAAAUUAUAUUAUGCAAAUAAUGCACCUUUUCGUAAUACUUUCUUGCAGAGCAUAAACAUAUAAAUUAAUUUGAAAGAAAUUCUAAGGAUAAAAAUAAGUCAUGUUUUCUAUAGAAAUCACUAGUUAACAUUUUAAAACAUGUGAAGAUAAGUAAAAAUAAGCCAACCUCGUACGUGUAACUUCAAGUCCUUAUUCACUACAAGAAAGAAACAAUGGACUUCAUGACCAAACUAUAAUCAUCGAGGGAAAA